AGAAACUAACAAGGAUUCCCCUAGUAACUGCGAGUGAAGCGGGAAAAGCUCAAAUUUAAAAUCUGGCGGUCUUUGGCCGUCCGAGUUGUAAUCUAGAGAAGUGUUAUCCGCGCYGGACCGUGUACAAGUCUCCUGGAAUGGAGCGUCAUAGAGGGUGAGAAUCCCGUCUUUGACACGGACUCCCAAGGCUUUGUGGUGCGCUCUCAAAGAGUCGAGUUGUUUGGGAAUGCAGCUCUAAAUGGGUGGUAAAUUCCAUCUAAAGCUAAAUAUUGGCGAGAGACCGAUAGCGAACAAGUACCGUGAGGGAAAGAUGAAAAGAACUUUGGAAAGAGAGUUAAACAGUACGUGAAAUUGCUGAAAGGGAAACGCUUGAAGUCAGUCGCGUUGGCCGGAGAUCAACCUUGCUUUUGYUGGGCGUACUUUCUGGUUGACGGGCCAGCAUCAGUUUUGACCGCUGGAUAAAGUCUAGGGGAAUGUGGCAUCUUCGGAUGUGUUAUAGCCCUUGG
rnacentral:rRNA from 1 species